UAUUUAAAUCGCCACAUUCCACUCCCUGGUC
rnacentral:piRNA from 1 species